CGCGAUUAGUAGCAAUACUAAUUGGCGGCGAGCGGCGGACGGGUGAGGAACACGUAGGAACUUGCCUAAUAGAGGGGGAUAACCAAGGGAAACUUUGGCUAAUACCGCGUAAUGUCGAGAGACCAAAGCUGCAGCAAUGUAGCGCUAUUAGAGAGGCCUGCGUCCGAUUAGCUAGUUGGUAGGGUAAAAGCCUACCAAGGCGAUGAUCGGUAACUGGUCUGAGAGGACGACCAGUCACACUGGGACUGAGACACGGCCCAGACUCCUACGGGAGGCAGCAGUGGGGAAUCUUGGACAAUGGGGCAACCCUGAUCCAGCGAUGCCGCGUGAGUGAAGAAGGCCCUCGGGUCGUAAAGCUCUUUAGGCUGGGAAGAAGGUUAGUGGAGGAAAUGCCAUUAAUUUGACUGUACCAGCAGAAUAAGCACCGGCAAACUCUGUGCCAGCAGCCGCGGUAAUACAGAGGGUGCGAGCGUUGAUCGGAAUUACUGGGCGUAAAGGGCGCGUAGGCGGUUACAUGAGUGUGCUGUGAAAGCCCCGGGCUUAACCUGGGAAGUGCAGUGCAAACGAUGUAACUGGAGUAGAUGAGAGGGUGGUGGAAUUUCCGGUGUAGCGGUGAAAUGCGUAGAGAUCGGAAGGAACGUCAAUGGCGAAGGCAGCCACCUGGCAUCAUACUGACGCUGAGGCGCGAAAGCGUGGGGAGCGAACAGGAUUAGAUACCCUGGUAGUCCACGCUGUAAACGAUGAGAACUAAAUGUUGGUGGGGGAACCCAUCGGUAUUGAAGCUAACGCGAUAAGUUCUCCGCC
rnacentral:rRNA from 1 species